CAGCAGCCGCGGUAACACGAAGGGUGCAAGCGUUACUCGGAAUUACUGGGCGUAAAGCGUGCGUAGGUGGUGGUUUAAGUCCGUUGUGAAAGCCCUGGGCUCAACCUGGGAAUUGCAGUUGAUACUGGGUCACUAGAGUGUGGUAGAGGAUAGUGGAAUUUCCGGUGUAGCAGUGAAAUGCGUAGAGAUCGGAAGGAACAUCUGUGGCGAAGGCGACUAUCUGGGCCAACACUGACACUGAGGCACGAAAGCGUGGGGAGCAAACAGGAUUAGAUACCCCUGUAGUCCCUGUCUCUUAUAC
rnacentral:rRNA from 1 species